rnacentral:rRNA from 2 species
UGCUGGAGGUAUCAGAAGUGCGAAUGCUGACAUAAGUAACGAUAAAGCGGGUGAAAAGCCCGCUCGCCGGAAGACCAAGGGUUCCUGUCCAACGUUAAUCGGGGCAGGGUGAGUCGACCCCUAAGGCGAGGCCGAAAGGCGUAGUCGAUGGGAAACGGGUUAAUAUUCCCGUACUUGGUGUUACUGCGAAGGGGGGACGGAGAAGGCUAUGUUGGCCGGGCGACGGUUGUCCCGGUUUAAGCGUGUAGGUGUGUGUUCCAGGUAAAUCCGGUUCACUUUAACACUGAGGCGUGACGACGAGGCACUACGGUGCUG